GACGAACGCUGGCGGCGUGCUUAACACAUGCCAGUCGAACGGCAAGGCCCUGCUUUUGUGGGGUGCUCGAGUGGCGAACGGGUGAGUAACACGUGAGUAACCUGCCCUUGACUUUGGGAUAACUUCAGGAAACUGGGGCUAAUCCCGGAUAGGAGCUCCUGCUGCAUGGUGGGGGUUGGAAAGUUUCGGCGGUUGGGGAUGGACUCGCGGCUUAUCAGCUUGUUGGUGGGGUAGUGGCUUACCAAGGCUUUGACGGGUAGCCGGCCUGAGAGGGUGACCGGCGACAUGGGGACUGAGAUACGGCCCAGACUCCUACGGGAGGCAGCAGUGGGGAAUAUUGCACAAUGGGCGGAAGCCUGAUGCAGCAACGCCGCGUGCGGGAUGACGGCCUUCGGGUUGUAAACCGCUUUCGCCUGUGACGAAGCGUGAGUGACGGUAAUGGGUAAAGAAGCACCGGCUAACUACGUG
rnacentral:rRNA from 1 species